rnacentral:rRNA from 1 species
UACGGGGGGGGCAAGCGUUGUUCGGAAUUACUGGGCGUAAAGGGCUCGUAGGCGGCCAACUAAGUCGGAUGUGAAAUCCCCAGGCUUAACUUGGGAACUGCAUCCGAUACUGGAUGGCUUGAAUCCGGGAGAGGGAUGCGGAAUUCCAGGUGUAGCGGUGAAAUGCGUAGAUAUCUGGAGGAACACCGGUGGCGAAGGCGGCAUCCUGGACCGAUACUGACGCUGGAGGAGCGAAAGCCAGGGGAGCAAACGGG